rnacentral:rRNA from 1 species
AGAGUUUGAUCCUGGCUCAGAUUGAACGCUGGCGGCAUGCCUUACACAUGCAAGUCGAACGGCAGCACGGGUGCUUGCACCUGGUGGCGAGUGGCGAACGGGUGAGUAAUAUAUCGGAACGUACCCUAGAGUGGGGGAUAACGUAGCGAAAGUUACGCCAAUACCGCAUACGAUCUACGGAUGAAAGUGGGGGAUCGCAAGACCUCAUGCUCAUGGAGCGGCCGAUAUCUGAUUAGCUAGUUGGUGAGGUAAAAGCUCACCAAGGCUUCGAUCAGUAGCUGGUCUGAGAGGACGACCAGCCACACUGGAACUGAGACACGGUCCAGACUCCUACGGGAGGCAGCAGUGGGGAAUUUUGGACAAUGGGCGCAAGCCUGAUCCAGCAAUGCCGCGUGAGUGAAGAAGGCCUUCGUGUUGUAAAGCUCUUUUGUCAGGGAAGAAACGGAUUUUUCUAAUACAGAGAUCUAAUGACGGUACCUGAAGAAUAAGCACCGGCUAACUACGUGCCAGCAGCCGCGGUAAUACGUAGGGUGCAAGCGUUAAUCGGAAUUACUGGGCGUAAAGCGUGCGCAGGCGGUUGUGCAAGACAGAUGUGAAAUCCCCGGGCUCAACCUGGGAAUUGCAUUUGUGACUGCACGGCUAGAGUGUGUCAGAGGGGGGUAGAAUUCCACGUGUAGCAGUGAAAUGCGUAGAGAUGUGGAGGAAUACCGAUGGCGAAGGCAGCCCCCUGGGAUAACACUGACGCUCAUGCACGAAAGCGUGGGGAGCAAACAGGAUUAGAUACCCUGGUAGUCCACGCCCUAAACGAUGUCUACUAGUUGUCGGGUCUUAAUUGACUUGGUAACGCAGCUAACGCGUGAAGUAGACCGCCUGGGGAGUACGGUCGCAAGAUUAAAACUCAAAGGAAUUGACGGGGACCCGCACAAGCGGUGGAUGAUGUGGAUUAAUUCGAUGCAACGCGAAAAACCUUACCUACCCUUGACAUGUCUGGAAUCCCUGAGAGAUUAGGGAGUGCUCGAAAGAGAAUCAGAACACAGGUGCUGCAUGGCUGUCGUCAGCUCGUGUCGUGAGAUGUUGGGUUAAGUCCCGCAACGAGCGCAACCCUUGUCAUUAGUUGCUACGAAAGGGCACUCUAAUGAUACUGCCGGUGACAAACCGGAGGAAGGUGGGGAUGACGUCAAGUCCUCAUGGCCCUUAUGGGUAGGGCUUCACACGUCAUACAAUGGUACAUACAGAGGGCCGCCAACCCGCGAGGGGGAGCUAAUCCCAGAAAGUGUAUCGUAGUCCGGAUUGGAGUCUGCAACUCGACUCCAUGAAGUUGGAAUCGCUAGUAAUCGCGGACCAGCAUGUCGCGGUGAAUACGUUCCCGGGUCUUGUACACACCGCCCGUCACACCAUGGGAGCGGGUUUCACCAGAAGUGGGUAGCCUAACCGCAAGGAGGGCGCUCACCACGGUGGGAUUCGUGACUGGGGUGAAGUCGGAACAAGGUAGCCGUAUCGGAAGGUGCGGCUG